AGAGUUCGAUCCUGGCUCAGGAUGAACGCUGGCGGCGCGCCUAACACAUGCAAGUCGAACGGCACCUGCCCUCGGGCAGAAGCGAGUGGCGAACGGCUGAGUAACACGUGGAGAACCUGCCCCCUCCCCCGGGAUAGCCGCCCGAAAGGACGGGUAAUACCGGAUACCCCCGGGUGCCGCAUGGCGCCCGGGCUAAAGCCCCGACGGGAGGGGAUGGCUCCGCGGCCCAUCAGGUAGACGGCGGGGUGACGGCCCACCGUGCCGACAACGGGUAGCCGGGUUGAGAGACCGACCGGCCAGAUUGGGACUGAGACACGGCCCAGACUCCUACGGGAGGCAGCAGUGGGGAAUCUUGCGCAAUGGGGGCAACCCUGACGCAGCGACGCCGCGUGCGGGACGGAGGCCUUCGGGUCGUAAACCGCUUUCAGCAGGGAAGAGAAGAGACUGUACCUGCAGAAGAAGCCCCGGCUAACUACGUGCCAGCAGCCGCGGUAAUACGUAGGGGGCGAGCGUUAUCCGGAUUCAUUGGGCGUAAAGCGCGCGUAGGCGGCCCGGCAGGCCGGGGGUCGAAGCGGGGGGCUCAACCCCCCGAAGCCCCCGGAACCUCCGCGGCUUGGGUCCGGUAGGGGAGGGUGGAACACCCGGUGUAGCGGUGGAAUGCGCAGAUAUCGGGUGGAACACCGGUGGCGAAGGCGGCCCUCUGGGCCGAGACCGACGCUGAGGCGCGAAAGCUGGGGGAGCGAACAGGAUUAGAUACCCUGGUAGUCCCAGCCGUAAACGAUGGACGCUAGGUGUGGGGGGACGAUCCCCCCGUGCCGCAGCCAACGCAUUAAGCGUCCCGCCUGGGGAGUACGGCCGCAAGGCUAAAAC
rnacentral:rRNA from 1 species